GCCUGAUGAUGUGGGCAUUUACGAAGUAGGUCUUUGAAACGCUCCCAUGUCUCAAAGAAAAGCUUCUCAUCGGUUUGUGUGAAACUUGUGAUUGCCCUUCACAGCU